UCCGGGACCCCGCCAAGUGUAUUCUGCAGAGGAAGGACAGAGAAUUACCUUCACCACGUGUAAUGUCAGCUGCAGAGAAACAACAUUGGAGAGAAGCAACAUUAGAAGAAUUCAUGAUCAAGUUGUGACAGACUAGGUCGGAAAUAGCAGCAGAGACAGCCACCUUAAAUAUAGAAAUCUCUGAGGUCAGAUUCUACAACUAAUUCAUCCUUCAAAUGCCAUGUCUGGAGAUGCCCCGGAAAAGGCUUAGAGCUUGGCCUUCUUAUAGACACAGCCUGGAACUUGGAGUGCCAAGCCUUCAUAUAAAGCACUUGGGAUGUCCUCUUGCAAAAGAACACCUGGAGAAGAUAACCAGCCAAGCUCCAGCCUUCCCACCAUAUUGCUGAGGUAGCAGAUGUUGUGUUAGUCAUUUCAGCCCUGUUUGCCUCUACCAGAGAAGAAGGGCCACUCAGCUGAGCCCAAUCAACCCAUAAAACUCUACAAGAUAAGAAAAUACUGUCUCAAGAAAUGCCAUUUUGUGAUGGCUUGUUAUACUGUGCUCUCACAAAAAUAGCAGCUAUGUUGUUGUCCUUGUCUUAAUUU